ACCUGGGCCAUGAUUCACUGAUUGAUUGAUCGGGGCCCAAGGGAGAUACACGGAUCACACUAACCAGCUUGCUUCACACAUGUUUUUGAACUAAUUUUGUCGCGAGAGAAGUAGGAGGAGUUGCCCCUGUAACUGUCCUGGAUUGUCAACAUGUUGUAAGUGCUGGACCCAACAACCAAGCAAAAGUUGAGGUAGAGAUUUUUUUUUCAAACUAAAAUGUGUGUAUGAAAGCAGAUACAUCACUGGCCAAAUUGAAUAUAUUUGGGGAGCCCAGACUGCACCAAGUCUACUGGGGUUUUCAUUACACGGAGCGAGAAUAAUAGAUCGCCCGGUUACUACAACACAAACGGUUUUCUAUCGAACCCAUUGAAAAUCGCCGGCAAUUUACAGUAUUUCCAAACGUGAGAUAAUUGUGUAAGCUUUGUCCUCUUCGGAGUUGAAGGCACUGAAAACUGAAUAUUGAAUUGUUAUUGUGACUGUGUGAGUUAGUGAAAGCUGUUACAGGGUCCUAAGCCUUAUAGGCUGGGGUCUGUCACAUCUACGACUCCGGAGUAUAGAGUCACUCUUAGGCAGUCAGGCGUGGCGGUGCUCAGGACGUGUAAAAAGGCAAACCAGCGCGACACCGACGUUCAGGCACAGCAGCCAGGCGUGCAUGUUGUUACCACGGCAAGUGUGUACCCACGGUUACAGUUAGCAGGCUAGGACUGUGGACUGGCGACGACAAACACCAGCCACUCCAAGAUAGACAGACGGACAGACGGACGUGUAUAGUGAAAUACUAAGCCAGCACGUCUAUCUACACCCAUAGACCUGAGUGUGUAGCACACAGACACGGAGGAUCAAGUCAAUUAAGUACCGGAGCAGUGCGUGUGUGUAUCGGACUUUCGAUCUGGAUCAUCUCAGCACCAUUGCCGCGUUACAACUUGCUGCAUCUCCGACCUCGGUAGCCAGUGUCGCUCCUCGCCUCAAAACACUACCUGUUGGCUCAAGGAGGUACCUUGGAUCCGGAGUCAGGAUGCACCCCUACCUCUACGUACAGUACCCGUACGUUCCUAUGCCGAUGAAGCAGGAUCAGCUCGUGGAAAUGAAGGUCAACUGGGCCACCUCUCCAAGUAAUCAGCCCAAACAAGACACAAGCAAACAUUUCCAUAUAUUUGUUGGAGACCUCAGUCCAGAUAUAGAAACACACCAACUCAAGGAGGCGUUCGGAGCUUUUGGGGAAAUUUCUGACUGCAAAAUCAUCCGAGACCCCCAGACAUUGAAAUCCAAAGGAUAUGGUUUUGUCUCAUUCGUUAAAAAAACAGACGCAGAAACAGCAAUCAAUGGAAUGAAUGGUCAAUGGCUAGGAACCCGUGCCAUACGAACUAACUGGGCAACCAGGAAACCCCCUGCACCGGUACCGAAAGAAACUGUAAAACAGAUGUCCUAUGAUGAAGUAUACAACCAGUCAAGUGCUACAAACUGUACCGUCUACUGUGGUGGCAUAGCCAACGGUCUAACAGAAGAUCUUAUACGUCAAACAUUCAAUACCUACGGCACAAUACAAGAAGUUAGAGUAUUUAAAGAUAAGGGUUAUGCUUUCAUAAGAUUUUCCACAAAAGAAGCAGCUGCUCAAGCAAUCUGUUCUGUGCAUGGUACUAUGGUGAAUGACCAACAAGUCAAGUGUUCCUGGGGAAAAGAGUCCAACGACCCUAGUCAGAACAGUACUGGGGGCUCUGCCACACCCCUGCCCACACAGAACAGUCCCGCCCAGCAGAGUCCACAGCAGCAGUACUCCACAAGCUCGCCCUCAUCUUACUCCCCAUACUUCAACAUGGGCUACUACUUCCCAGGGGCCGCCGCCUAUCAGAACAUGGCACAGGGCAGCUACAUGCAGGCUGGAGGUAUUAACCAGUGGCCUGCAGGCUACAACUACCAGACAUACAGUAUGCCGACGACAGCUGUCCAGCAGUGGGGACAGGUCCAGAUGCAACCGGGCCAACAGCAGCAGUUCAACGGCCAGCAACCCGGCAUGAUGGGAUACCCAAUGCAGCAAGGUACAUCCCAUAAUAUCCGGGAUGAAGGCGUGGAAACAGGUGUCGGCGGAAUGAUGGCCCUUAAUUAUCUCAAGUCCGCUCCGUGACGAGACCGCGCACCGAGACCAGGAAUGAUGGGAGGACAGAGGGUGGAUACCAGAGUUAGAUUAAAGAUUCCAGCAAGCUCAGUGAUCAUGACUUACCACGUUCCAUCUGCCAUCAACUGCCACGCGUCAUCCCUGGUCGUAUUCGGCUGAUCCUGGUCGUGGCACCCCAUCCCGCACUACUACCUUAUACUGCUGGAGGCUGUUUACGCAGUCUGUGAUGUGUCCUUCGCGGGAAGGAAAAGCUAACAGCACAGAAAGCAACUUCAGCUCAAAUAUUUCAUUAUCUAUUGUAUCAUGUUUAUCUAGUACAGUUAUCUAUCUGUUCCAUAUAAAAACUUAAAUAGAAAUGUUACUUUUAAGUUUUUACAUGGACUUGAAGUUUGGUAAACGAAUAAAAGUAUUUAACCUGUAAUUUCUUUUAAAUAACAAUUUCUAAAUAAAUCCUGUAGGCAACAUUCUUUUUGACAUGUUUUAGGGACCGAAUAUUUCAAGUAGAAACAGGAUGACAGUUUUGAGGGGGUUGAAAAAGGAGAAUUUUAUGAUUGAUUUUGGCAGAAGUUGCUGACUGUACUUUAAGCAUAACCAUCUCAUCAACUUUGUACAUAGAUGUAUGUUAUACCAUGUAGAGGUUUAUAAUGAGGCUGGUGUUCAGGAUACAGGUUCUCAUUGAGCGGAGAUGCAACGGUUGUGGCAUCUUGUUGUGUAUUACAACCUCGGCUGUGGCAUCUUUCAUAUUGCAUCUGUGUAUACCAUGGCUCAUAGCUUCAGCUCAAGUUAUACUGACAAAAUUCAAAACACUGCUGUCUCAUAUUCCAGGAAAAGAUAUUUUAUUGCUUGUACCAGAAUCACAUGGAAAAGAUAUCAAAUAUCCUACAGUGUAACUUCUCGCUGUUGAUUUGGGUUGUACGGAAAAGGAAGAGUGUCUGAGUUAAUUUAUAAGCUGACAACUGUUGUCUGUAAGUUAAUUUAUUGACUCACAGCUGGUGUCUAUGAGUUAAUUUAUUGACUCACAACUGUUGUCUGUGAGUUAAUUUAUUGACUCACAACUGGUGUCUAUGAGUUAAUUUAUUGACUCGCAACUGUUGUCUGUAAGUUAAUUUAUUGACUCGCAACUGUUGUCUGUGAGUUAAUUUAUGAACUCUCAACUGUUGUCUGCAACCCUUUCAGCCCAAUGCAACUUUAGUAGACUCUUCCAUGUAUUGAUCUGGAUAAGUUCAUUAUGGUUUACAUUGGUAAAAGGGUUAACUCACAACUGUUGUUUAUCAGUUAAUUUAUUAACUCGCAACUGUUUAUCAGUUAAUUGAUUUACUCACAACUGUUGUUUAUCAGUUAAUUGAUUAACUCACAUCUUUGAAAUCAUACAACUGAUUUCUGUAAAAGCUUUGAAAGCUUGCUACUUAGGUCUGGAAGUUAUUCACAACAACAGAGGGAGCUAGGAGCUUUGGUUGGCGCAGUAACCUCCGCUGUAUUGAGCCACGUCGUUGUGGGUGUAACCGGGGAGGAGGAAGGCUGUAUAACGGUGUUCUUCUCAUGAAGUUCCUAAUGAUUAUAUAUAUAUUGUGUGAUCCUAGCUGUCCGUCAGAUCUAAGGUUCGUGGAAUCCGGCAGUGUACCAGAUCAGCGAUUUGUCGGACUUGUUGGUCCUGUCAGAUCAGCUGAAUCGUCGGAUCAUCAAUUCAUGGGAUUAUUGGGUGCGACGGAUCAGCCAUUGUCCUUGUAGAUAUUGUACCAAUACUAAUAUAAAAAUGGAUGGUUAAUGAUUAUGUAUCAGAAGGUAUAUCAAUUCUGAAUCAAUGCUCAUGAUGUAUUUAUUAUAUAUAGUGAGGCUGUGUAAGCGAGAGAUCACUUUGUCUGGCACCACUAGGGGGCACUGUCUGUAUUGCCAUCACUAGAGGGCAGCACUUGUGGUGUUGCUGCUAUCUGGCGAUAUGUGAUUUACUCCAUGCGAGUCUGAAAACUGUUGCUGUAAAACUUGUUUCCCCUCAGUUACAGUUUGUGAGUAUAUGGCGAGUACAACGUAUAUAACCCUCAGCUUUGGGUUCACAAGUAUGAUUGAGUCAAGAAAACUAUAAAUAGAUGUUCAGUUGUAUAUUGCGUGACGUUAGAAGAUCAGAUUUUUAUUGUUUUUAUAUGUGGGAGUGUGAAUGAUUUAAAUGUGUAUACGAUGACAAUGUACUGAUUUUAUAUGAGAUCAUGCACUGAGUUUGACUAGGAUGUUUCUAAUGAAUGAAUUAUUUUUCAUUUUAUUAUAUAUGAUAAAUGUUGCAGUUGUUGAAAAUGGUAUAUUAUGAUGAUUAUUAUUAUUAUUGGUGUCCAAGGAAAGACAAGUAUUAACAGCUACGUAUGAAUAAAUUAUUUAUACAUUUUUUCACCAGAUUCCGACAGGGAGUUAUGGUUGACAAUAUUUACUGUCAUCAUGUAUCUAUAGCAUCAAGUUUAUGUUCUGUUUUAUUUGUACAAUGUUAAUUGUGUAAAAAAAAAAGUUUUUUAAGACGUGAGAACAUUUCGUUACGCCAAAUAUGGCUGCUGCAAUGCGUAUAUUUUGAUACAAGGGGUAUUGUAGACUAUUAGAUACAGGUUUGGUAGCGCUGAAUGGUUAUUUAUCACUGCUAGUAAGAUGUGUUGUUGUACAUAGGAAAUCAUUAACUAGUUAGUUGGGACCUCCCGUCGUCAUACGUCGUCAUUGUUAGGUUGGGAAGCCCUCGUGUCAUACCUCGUCAUGGUUACAUGGGAAGCCCCUGUGUCAUAUGUUGUCAUGAUUACUCACCUGAGGGCACCUCCCCCGGGGUGUCUGGGAGUUCCUCUCAUCACAUCGGUGUGGUUCAUCAUUCUGGGCUGUCGUUGUGUCGUGGCUUUGUCAUCAUGGUCGUCCUACGUCGUGGUACGUGGUUUGUGUGAAGCGUCGGUGAUCUGUGUCGUUGUGGCGCUACCAGGCCGCUGGCCUGACAUGGAGUGUUGUUGUUGUAACAUAGAAAUAUAUCCCAGGAUUGCCUAGGUCUAUAUCCAGAUGUGUUCUAUUUUAUGUAUAUAACAGGAAGUGAUUGUAAAAAACAACAUGGACAAGUCUGGGCCAACACCGUUCAUACAUGGGGUCAUUUUAGUCAUUCUUAACUGUUAGGGAUCCCUGUCCCACUGUAGUCUAACCAGGAGAAAGAAAUCCAUUUUAGAUUUUCAUACACACAGUAAAACUCCGUAAUUUAGUUUUGAAUAUGAAUGAAGCAUGACUUGGCCAUUUAACUACCACUGACCAGGUAGGCUAAUUGGUUUGUGUGACCGUUUUGUAAUCUGAGGAUCUGGGUUGGAAUCCCAGCCUGGCCAAGUGGCAAUUUGUACUCUCAGAACACUGCUGUGAUUUAUUUUGUUAGUAAAGUUCAUUUUCAUUCUCCCGUAUUAAAUGUUCUGUGAGGUAUGGAUUUCCAGAAAUAGUUCAUUAAAGCUGUUGUCAUGCUGGUGAAAAAAGUUUCCAUUUCAUUGUCGUCCGUUGUCCAGGGAUCCCAAACAGACAUGUCAACCGUGAUAUAUAGACAUUAGUGUAUUACAGAAACUGUACUUACGUGCUGCUACCAGGAGUCCCAAGCCUCCUAAAGUUGCUAAGCAAAUAUGCAAAAUUAGGUGGAGUAGUGAUAGUGUGCCAUAGUGUGUUGUAGGCAACCCAAAUGUGCCAUUUUAAAACAUAAACGCCAUCAGCUGUUUGGUACCACUAGAUAUGUUCUGUAGUCAAGGUUGUGGCCUUGGUAUCCGAUGAUAAAGGUCAUGACCUUUGUGUCCUGAUGUUAAAUUAAAGGUUAUAAAUUUUACAACCUGAAGAUAAAGGUCAUGACAUUGGUAUACUGAUGUAAAAGGUCAUGACCUUUGCAUCAUGAUGAUAAAGGUCAUGACCUUUGAUAUCCAGGAGAGGAUAUAGGUUAGGAGUUAGUCCCCAGAUCACCACUUCCUAUAUGUUAUAUAUGGAGUGGAGGUUUAAACUCAAAUUGCUUGGUGGUUUUAGGGCCUGAUUACAGUUACAGUUCAAAGGUUGAUUACAGUUACAGUUCAAAGGUUGAUAACAACAAUUUGUAACUUAAAAAGAUUCCAGGUAGUUAUUUGUGCCCCUGAAUCCCCUUCUGGUGUCAACCAUUACCAGUCUAAGCUAUAACUAAACAUAUUUUCCUAUAGAAGAAAGGACGUUUCAAAUGAGAAAUAUUUGACCCGAGCACUGUGUUGAUCUCAUCAUUUCUGUGAUACAUAAGCCUGUGACGGCCUAGACUUUUCCAUGUGAGAACACAUCAGUCAUAUGUACAUAAACAUCAGUGGGAGUGCCCCUGUGGGGUGUGGAUGGGGGGGAUGUCAUCAGUAUUGUUCUCGUAGUAGUCAUCAUGUUUAUACAGGUGUUAGAUAUGUCAGCCAUACCAAACUCAUAGCACAUACAGGUCCACCAUACUGUAGUUUUACUGGUCAGAAAAUCAGAUACAUUUAAUGUAGAAAAAAACCCGAUAAAACUUCACAUUUAAUUUUAUAGGAAGUCUCAGAUAUUCUGAUUCCACUUACAGACUUGUUUUGACAAGGUACUAGAAUUUAGUCUCUGUUCAAAUCCAGCCAGUACCAGCAGACAUCUUCAGACUAGUAACAGAGAGGGGCAAAGCUUUCUGUUAGCUGUGAUAGAGACCUGUCCUUAUACUUAAGCUAGUCCCUUUAGGCUAAAGUUUGUGUUUGAUGUUGGAGGUGUUGAUUGUUUCGUAAGAUGAUUAUACCGAUUUGAUCAAACUCACCUUUACGUUUAAUCAGUGUUUUUACCAAUCCGUUUAGCUGAAAUGAUUUUCUUCGACAGAAUUUUUUGAGGAUGAAUUUGGUGUGAGCAGAUGAUGGCCUAAGCAUAGAGUCGUUAGUGUGAAGAGCUUGUGUAGUGGUGUUAGGGGGUUGUCGUCAUCGUGUUUUAUACUUUAUACGAAAAAAAUCAGCUCAACUUUCUAUGGGGUUAGUAGUGUUUUAUGAUUAGAGAUAUAUUGUAUAAUUACUGCGACAGUUCACAGCGCUUAAUCUUCGGUCAGGCCGACUGUUUCUCAGGGCUACAGAGGCGGGGGAUUUUUACCCUUCAGAUUGUUCAUAACGCUCCAGUCUUGUGCAGGUAAUAUGACAGACAUUUUGAAAGAAAAAAUAUCCUGAUAAGAAUACAAUAUUUUGGUGUUUUGCCAGAGUUUUUACCUCAUUUUAUAGAUUUCAAAAAUACCAGCAAACUUUGCUGUAUGUUACAAAACUCCCCCAUUUAUGACCAUUCAUAUUAUUCUAUGGAAUUAUGUAAAAGGAUUAAGCACAUUUUGUAUCUCUGUCAUUUCAACUGCAGUGUAAACUUUGUGACUCCCCUUUAAAUGAUACCUGUAUGAAAAGGAUACCAGUGUCAUUGAACAGUUGUUAAAUACAACGUUGUUGACCCUCACUCUCAGAUCAUGUUACUCCUACAGGGCGAAAUGCUACUACAAAAUGUGUAUCUAAACAAUGUGAAAUGUAAAUAAAUGUUAUUGCUAGUCCAAACCAGACUGUUGUAGAUGAUCAGCGUAAUUAAUUGUUAAUCUGAGUGUGUCAUUAUAUCAUUUAUCAUUAUGUGUCGGAAACCUCGAUCCAACUGUUUUGUAGGGUGUGUUAAGACGGAAAUGUGUUGUUUUUUUUUCCAGCUGUAAGCAACAAGACUGAAUUUUGUUUUUAACGUUUUAACAGUAAACGAAUCUGCUCAGUAUCAUUCGGUAUGUACACAUUAGCCGACCCCGAGAUUAUAUUAUAAACCAGUUUUAGACUUUGUCCAAAUUUCAGAUGUUAUAAGGCAUAGACAUAUACAUGUUUGUAUAAAUAGGUAUGAUAAAAAUCAGCCUGAAUUUCUUAAAAUUACAGACAUGCAAAUUCACAUUUUGAUGUGGGAAAUUAAAUUAAAGAUAUGAAAUAUGAAAUUUAACAGCAUUCCAAUUUGGACUUGAGUCUUAAUUAUUUUAUGGUUUUGGAGUCUGGUCUGUAAAACCCUCAAUAUAGCCCCAAGUGUGAAGAGGUUAGCCCCGCAGUUGGAGGUGAAACACAUGCCCUUGUUAGAAUGUGUACAUACAAUGUAAUUUAUGCAGUAUCGUCAUGUAGAUAACUCAGUAUACAGUUAGUUAAUGUACCGCACUGUCCCUCUCCCAGUCAAACUUGUGUGUCCCUUAAACCCAACAGCCUGGAAUUGACCUUCACCUUGACUGAAUCCUUUUUUACUCCUAGUUACGUCAAACAAACAACCCUAAGUUGAUACCAAAUCUCAUAAAGAUAGUUUGAUAAAUGUGACAUUUUUUUGUUAUAUGAAUUUAAAUUAGAUAUUUUAGUAUAAAGGUUGGGUGUUAAGACAUACAAAAGAUCGGUCCAAGUUAUUGACCGAAUGCUUAAAGACAAAUAUAUGAACUGACCACGUAUAUGGACACACAGGUUUGACCACGAACGGCAGUGUGGAUCUAACCAUCAAACUCAUAAUUUAUGACAAUUAUCCAUAGGACCAGUCUGUGUCAUAUACAGAAAUCAUUUUAACCGGGAGGCCUGGUGCUUCAAAACAUUUGUACAUAGAGGAAGGAGCUGGGCUGAAUUAUCUCCCUUCCCACUUCCAUUGCCUGACAGAUAAGAGGUCUGAUGAGAAGUAAAUUGGAAUUAUAAAAAUAAUGAAAAAUGGAAAGUUUAUACUGACAUUGCAGCAUGUGUCGAUUUCUACCAACAAUUGCUGAAAAGUUAAUGAAAUUUGUAUUGGAAAAAAUGUCAAUCUCUUGUCAAGUAUCAGAGUAGUAUUAGGAGCAGGGAGAUAACUCUGUCACAUCUGCUGUAUAGAUCCGGGGAUGUUGUUUCCUCAUCACUGAUAAUAGGCAGACCCUCCAGACUGCCAAGGAGGAGUGUUUGGACCCUCCUCACUCACAACAGGGACGGUUCAUGAUCAGUCCCUCACUGUGAAGGGAAGUAUUCAGACCCUCCUCACUCACAACAGGGACGGUUCAGUCCCUCCUCACAAAGAAGGGAGAUAAUUUGGACCCUUGUGACAGGGACAGUCUAGUUCAAUUAUGUACACUCAUUAUCAUAUGUCCAGUUCAUUUUGUGUUUGAUAUCAGAACGGUGUAGUCCGCUCUGCUCAUUGUACCACAGCAAAAACAAAAAUAAAAGCAUGGGAAGUCGA